rnacentral:lncRNA from 1 species
AGAGAUUUAAGUACCAUCGUACAUCUACUGCAAACACACAUCAAAAUUGAUUAACAAAUUAUUUAUUACAAGUAGACAACGGAUGAAAUUAUUGUAUUUUCAAAGAGGAAAAAAGAUUAUUUAUAAACGUAAUGUAUAUUCAUUCUUCUCUUAAUCCCAAUAAGCCACUAGAUGAGGAUCAAGUCCACAAUUCAAUAUUCCACAUGAUUUUUCCAUUUCAUCUGCAAUUACUAGAUUAAAAGGUAAUAAAAUUAAUUACUUAACAUGCAUUCUAAAUCAUCCUUAAAUUUGAUAUGUUGGGUUCCAGCUGUAGGCAAAACUUUGGAUAAGUACAGAAAAAAAAAAUUAAAAAAGAGUAAAAAUGAAAAAGGAAGAAAAUAUCGAUCAAACCUCUUGUUCAGGAGAAAUCAAACGGAGGGGCGGCGCUGGUUUUUGAUCUAACCCUUGAAGCCCCGACGCGCUAUUUUUCCGGUUACGUAUGAAUUAUUUUCCACAAAGAACUUAAACUCGGGAAGAGAAAGACCAGGAGACAUAUAUAGCCAAAGGCAGCGACUUAAAGUCCUGGUGCCGCAACGUGAUCCAAUCCUUGUCCCCGAUGAUAACGUAGUCACACUUGUCAUCUCAAGAAUCAUUGGACGAGGCAUAUUAACCUUCAUAUACAUGUGGGGUCCAUUUUGAAAAAAUUAGGUGGAGUAUGU